rnacentral:lncRNA from 1 species
CAGAAACACCAGGAUGAGGGAUGCAAAUGAAGUCAGAGAUGCCACAGAGAGUGAUACACAUGAUGUCAGAGAUGCAAUAGAGUGUUUUACACAAGAAGUCAGACACUCCAUUUGGAGUGUUACACAUGAAGUCAGAGACUCCAUUGAAGAGUGCUAUGCACGAAGUCAAAGACAACAGGAGGAGUGUUACCCACAAAGUCAGAGAGACCAGGGGGAGUGUGAUGCAUGAAGUCAGAGACACGAUUGGGUGUUACACAUGAAGUCACAGACAACAGGGGGAGUGUGAUACACAAAGUCACAGAAGCCAGGCAGAGUGAGACACAUGAAGUCAGAGGUGCCAGAGGGAGUGUUACACACACAAAUCUGAGAUGCCAGAGGGAGUGUGACACAAAGUCAGAAAAACAAGGGGUAGUGUUACAUAGGCAGUCAGAGGCACUAGGGAGUGUGAUACACACUAAGCCAGAGAUGCCAUGGGGAGUAUGACACACGAAGUUAGAGACACCAGGACAUAUUAUGACAAGCAAAGUCAGAGACACAAUGGUGACUGUUACACUCGAAGUCAGAGAUACCUGAGGUAGUUUGACACAUGAAAUCAGAGAUAACAGGGCAGGAGUGACACAUGAAUCAAAGAUGACAACGGGAGUGUGACACACAAGUCAGAGAGGCCACAUGGAUUUUUACACAUGAAAUCGUAGAUGCCGGGGGAGUGUUAUACAUGAUGUCAGAGAGGCCACGUGGAGUGUUACAGACGAACUCAGAAAUGUCACUGGAAGCAUUACAAAGUUGGAGACUCCAGAGUGAAAGUGUCACAUGUAGUCAGAGCCAACAGGAGACUGUUAAACACUAAGCCAGAGAAGCCACAGGGGAGUGUUAUCCCCAAUGACAAAGACACCAGGAGGAGUGUUACACAGGAAGUGAGAGAUGCUACGGGGGGUGUGACACAGGAAAUCAGAGAUAAGAGGUGGAUUGUGACACAGAAUGUCAGAGAUGCUAUGGGGAAUAUUACACAUAGCUCAGAGACAAGAGAAAGUGAAACACAUUAAUCAGAGAGGCCACAGGGUGUGUUACACACUAAGUCAGAGAUGCCAGGAGUAGGGUGACUCAUGAAGUCAGAGACGAAAGGGGGAGUGUGACACACAAAUCAGUGAUGCUACGGGAAAUGUUAAAAUAGACAUCAGAGAUGCCAGGGUACUGUGAUACAUGAAGUCAGGUAUGCCUGGGUGAGUAUGACACAAGAGUCAGAGUUGCAAUGAAGAGUGUUACAGUCAAAGUCAGAGAUGCCAGGGGAAUGUGACACAUGGAGUCUGAGACUUCACGUGGAGUGUUACGUACAAAGUCAGAGACACCAGCAGGAGAGUGGCACAUGAAGUCAGAGAUGACAGGGAGAAUGUGACACAUGAAGUCACAGACGCCAAAGGGGAGUGGUAUCCACGAAUUCAAAGACAACAGGGAGAGUGUUACACAUGGUGUCAGUGAUGACAGGGGUAUUGUAUCACACAAUGACACAGACAUCAGGAGUGUGACACCCAAAAUCAGAGACAACAUUUGGGGUAUGACACACAAAGUCAGAAACACCAGUGGGAGUGUUACACAUAAUGUCAAAGACAACAUGGGGAUUGUUAUACACAAUGACAGAGAUGACAUUGGGAGUGUGACACCUGAAGUCACAGAUAUAAUGGGGAGUGAGAGGCACAAUGUCAGAGAUGACAGGUGGAGUGUUAGAGAUGAAGUCACAGACAACAAAGGGAGUGUUACACACGAAUCAGGGACACCAGGGCGAGCAUUACACAUGGAGUUAGAGAUGCUAUGGGGAUUAUUAUGCUUGAUAUCAGAGACACCGUGGGGGAGUUUUACACAUAAGGGCAGAAACGUCACAUGGUUUUUUACAGAUGAAAUCAGAAAUGCCAGGGGGAUUGUUACUCACCCAGUCAGAGAUGCCACAUGAGGUUUUACACAGGAAGUCAUAGACAAUGGGAGGGUUUUUACAAACAAAAUCAGAGGUCUUACGGUUAUUGUUACACACAUCGUCCAAGAUUCCAGGCAGUGUGGGACAGAGGAAGGAAAAAACACAGGGUGGAUUGUUACACACAAAGUCCAAGACACCAGGGAGAGUGUGAAACCUGAUGGCAGGGAUGCCAUGGGCAGUGCAACACACGAAAUCAGAGAUGACAAGUGAAGGGUUAGAGACAAAGUCAAAGACGCCAGGGGUAGAGUUAUGCACAACAACACAGAUGCCAGCAGGAGUGUUACACAUGAAAUCAGUGAUGCC